UACGUGGGGGGCGAGCGUUGUUCGGAAUUAUUGGGCGUAAAGGGUGCGUAGGCGGUUUGGUAAGUCUUGUGUGAAAUCUACAGGCUCAACUUGUAGUCUGCACGAGAAACUGCCGGGCUUGAGUGUGGGAGAGGUGAGUGGAAUUCCUGGUGUAGCGGUGAAAUGCGUAGAUAUCAGGAGGAACACCUGUGGCGAAAGCGGCUCACUGGACCAUAACUGACGCUGAUGCACGAAAGCUAGGGGAGCAAACAGG
rnacentral:rRNA from 1 species